GGCUCUUGAUUCAAACCCAUAUAGCACCCAAGAAUCUAGAUGCAAAUCAGAUGGAAGAUUUACAGAUUUCAGACACAUGGCCAACAUAAUUAAGAAUAUUAGACCAACUAUGAUGACAAGGGAACACGAUCGAAAGCUCCAUCCCAUCAACUAUAAUAUUCCAAAGUCUCAUUAUUGAUGUGAAAGGAAAUUAAUAAUGUUUAAGAUAAAUUAGAGGUUAAUUACUGUAUGUGAUUAAUAAUAUGGAUAGAUUUAGCAUCAUAGAAUCAUUAGAUUGGUGAAAAAAAAAAAUGGAAAGUGGCCAUAGGAUCUAAAGGGUAAAAUGGAACUUGUAUUUUAAAAAUACUGGUGGACAAAGUUGAAAGCACAGUGGGUGUGGGACAAUCAUUAAUCGUUCUUCUUUUAUUAUUUAUUUUCACCUAAAAUUUGUUUACUAUACUGGGACAGUGAGAUCUCAUGCUGUCUUUUUUAAUAUAGUUAUGUAUUCUUUUU
rnacentral:misc_RNA from 1 species